CCGGAUCUGUAUGCAGGAAUUUUUGAAAGGAGAGAGGAAGAUUAUCAUCGUGUCUUCACAAGUAGAUGUAAAAUACAAAGAUAUAUCCUUCUGGAUUCAGGGAGUUGAAUAACGCAUGACACAGAGCGGGUUUUCACCUUGUUAAGGUAUUUUUUUUCUUAUGUGUGACUGAAUGGAAAAAAUAUGAUAUACACAAGACACUCUAUACAUGGAAAAGCAUAUCAUCGGAUCAUUUAUUUAAAAAAACAAAACAAAAUCUAAAUAAUUCACUUUACCACUUUACCAAAUUAAAUUUACCAAAAUCUAAUUUUACUACCAAUUAAUCAUUAAACUAGGCUACUGAAGCUUUAAGCUAGCAGUAAGGUAGCUUUAGCAGAGCAAAUAAUAUAUUUAUAUAUUAAUAUAAUGUUCAUAUAAAGCAGGCCUAUAGUUCGGUUAACUUUCUAAAAAGAUUUCCUCGGUUACUUUAUAUCCCCGAACAGAAAAAGCUCCUUUAAAAAAAAAAGCAUGAAACCAAACCUGUGCCCUACAUACGAGGGAGUACUCUGCACGUCGUUGCAAAGCCGCGGCGUCCUCGCUCCACCCAUGUUUACCAGUUUGUUGUUGCCACGGGAACACCAUCUCGGCAGCCUAUUGGUCCACCCGGAGAGGUAUCGGCAGGUGAAGGAGUGCAGCUGCGUGGGCGUGAUGAGGGAGCGAGAAAGGGGCGGCUGAUAGCGACGGAAAGAUAAACAUUGCGAUAGGGAGGGCAAUAAAUGUAUGGAAAGGGUGGGGUGGAGGCUGUGAUAAAUGGACGGACAGAGGUGAAGGUGGAAGUGGUGGAGGCGGAGGAGGAGGAGGGGAAGGGGGGCACUGCACACACCUCGCUUGCUUUCUCAGAAACAGGAAGUCGUCAGUUGAACCGCCGUCUCCUCCGGUGACGCAGCUGGCUGAGUUUGAUGACGGCCAUGUGUCUGCGUUGCUCUGGCAACCGCUUGGCAAGGACAAACAUCCGGAUGUCAUGUCUCAGUUGCUGCACCGUCAUCGUUCUUCAUCAGAUUUGUUGUAGCAAGAAAAACCGCACUAUCAACCCAGGCUCUUUUUAAAAUUACCGAGGUAUAACUGCAUUCAGCUAAAUGAAUGAAUUCUGACAUGUCCAUGAAUGAGGUCGCUGUGGAAACAAACAGUACAUCCUAACUAAAGCACAAAUGAAAAAAUGGAAAACAGUGUAAGAUUUUCCUUUGUCCUCUUCUCAUGACCAUUAUUUAUAUAUAUAUUUUUUAUUGUUUUCGUGCAGAAAUGCCCUUUUUUAUUUCCCCUCACUACUUUUCCAGAUUGAUGUUUUUUCUCUCGUGUCCUCUUCUCCACAUUCUUGCUUGUUUUCUUUAUAAUGUGGACACAGAUUGAUGAAUGAGUCCCCUGGAAUUAUGAGUGUGGUUUUGACUUAGAAUAGUGAUGAAUUUUGCACUUUUUUUUAUUUUGAAAGUUGAAAGUGCUGCCUGUCAAUUUCUUGAUUUUGCCCCCCCCCCACACACAGACACACACACACAGACACACACACACACACACCACUGUAGUCACAAGUCUUUCAGUUGUGUGGUAAGAGUGACAGACUGUGCAGAAUCCGUAGGAAGUAAAAGGUUAUUGUUGCGUAACAGCACGUAAAGCUCUUUGGAUUUAAGCAAUAUGAAUUUCUGCACACAAUAGAAACGUAGCCUACAAAUUAAGUUCACCGCCGCACAAAAACAGAGCCAAGUGAUUUUGUUCAGCUCUCUGGUUUCACAGGCAAACAUAAGCAGGCGCGGUGUAACUUUUACCUGCUGAUUGGUGGCCAUUUGCCGCAUAUCUGAUUUCCUGCUCGCGACCUCAACGUAGAUAAGAAAGACAAAGAAAGUGAUGGAGAGCAAGUGAGAGAUGCAAAGGUUAAAGAGGUUUAUUUGAUAGGUGAAGGAAUGAGUCACAGAACACAAAUGCACAGGUCUUCUUUUUUUUCCAAAACAAGUUUUAUUUUUCAAAAAAAGAUUAAAAUAUACUUAAACAGACUUCAUUAAUUGAUAUAUUUUUCCAUUUUCAUAGAUCACGGUACAAAAAACAAAGAAAGAAACCUAAAAAUACAGUUUAAAAAAAAUUCUAUCAUUUAUAAUACAUUAUAAGCUUUUAUGGUUAUAUGAUUUUAAAGGUCUGUGUAUGUCAUGAAAAAGAGCUACACAACUAAAGAAAACACGCAUGUAGACGUCUGGUGUUAAUGUUGUUAUUAAACUGACAUUAAAGUGUGUGUGUUUGUGUGUGUGUGAGCGAGAGAGAGUGUGGAAAUGAGAACAGUCCCCUGUUCCUGCUGAACUGAGCCAGCCGACGUCACACACUGAUUAUCAGCACAGCAGGCACAGGAGACCGACCCAGCGGGGGGGUGAGGAGGAGGAAGGGGGCGGACAGAGGUGGUCACACACACAUAAACACAGACAUACACACAGGUACACGCAGACACACAGCAACGAGCCAAACAGACACUGAUGCUCAUGCAGAAAUCAACAGGUAGAAGUGAAAAUAAACGUGGUUACAAACACAAACACACACACCCCAGAGAGAGCCUGGCAGCCGGCAAUACACCCGACAACACAAGAUGACAUAUUGCCCGCCCAACAGGAACGGGAGCAGCCUUCGACACUAAUGAGACGCCUGACAUUUAGCAGGCUCUGACACACUGAGACCGAACAAUUUCGGCUAAUUCACCAGAUUAGCUGUUUUUGCCAGGCACUCGCUCAUAAUGGAGUGCGAUACCUGUUCCCAUGCAUCCCACUCAGCCACAUCACAGUGCCGACUCGUAACACUGUACUGAGUCAUCCAUUGAGUACUCCCACACGCGCGUGCACACACACACAGCCUCCGACACAUGUUGUCAAUUUAGCAACGAUCAGGAAAGCUCGUAAAAAUAAAGUCAAAGGAUCAAUCUGGCUGUUGAGGAGUAGCACGGAUUUGCCUCGUUACCGGCAACGUGAUGCUUUCUAGUAGCGGUCAGUGGAUCGAUUCAAAUAUUGAUAGUAUCGAUACCAAUACUGGUAUUGGUAUCAGAUGGAUACUAGCGCAAUUGGACCGAUACUCUUCUAUCCUUAUGUUCAGUACGUAGCACAUUUAAAGGACAGAAGCUGAUCCAAAGUGCUUUAGAGACAGCCUCAUGAAACGCUGAUUUGUUGUACUGAUUAAUUAUUGCGGUAAUUCAUCUCAUAAGUCAUGACACACUCCCCUACAUAAGCUGCAUUUAUACGUUAAAAGUAGCAGCAUUGAUAAUUUUGACCCUGUAUUUUGGUAUCGGAUUGAUUGCUUCUGUUAAGUUAAAAUAGACGCACUGAGUUUUCUGCUCAAGUUUCCGUAAACCACUUGAGAAAGCAGGGCGGCGACGAGAUAACAGAAAAAAAUGGUUGAUGGUGUGACAGAUAAAGAGCUUUUUUGCUUUGUUGUUGUUGUUGGGUUCAAGUCCCAAAGAAGGUCACAGGUUCUUAAGUAAAUCAUCGAACAGGCGGCCAGAAACACAUUUUAUAUAAGAAAGCUGAUGUUUGUUGGGAGGAUAUAGUCAUAGGACGAGAUCAUACUCAUGUGAAGCCUGGUGUUGAUGUGAAGAGCGGUGUUUUUGAUGCAGUGCGGCCCCUCCCUGACCUUUACUCCCCUCCCUUGUCCCCUGCAGGCUGCAGCCCUGUGGCGGCAGAACUUAACCACUGUGAACAUGGCAGACACUCACUGUUCACAUGUGGGUUAAGUCCUGCUGCCGCACAGCCAGGCUUCGACAGGCAUCUGUUUGUGACACAGAAAGGAGACGUUUCCAUGUGUGUAUGCAAAUGAGUGACUGUGUAUGAGUUGGCAAAUUGGUGCGCGUGCAACGAAGAGGCUGCUUUCUUCGUGUCAGCCAUUGGAAAUCCCUGGCAAUGUGAUUCAGUCCUCUAGUUUAAAAAAAAUCACUCUGCCAGGAAUUCCCCUGGCCAACAGAUAGAGCUGGACGGUCUGUGGCGGAAAGAAGACUUCAAAGCACGCACAGUAAUAAAUACCACAAUAAGACUCGAGCAUCACUGUCACCUUUAUAAGCAUCAGCUCCUUUCUUCUUUAACCCCCCCAAUACACAAAGAGAGCAGUCUGGCUCUGUCACGUUUGUCAUUCGCAGGUCAGUCACUGCAUUUUCUCAACCCUGUGUGCACUGUACGUGGUCCUUGUCAACUCCCAGACUUCCCGUGGCCUCUUAUAAAAAUAGCUUUUCAAUGACAGAAUGGAGAAUUAGGUUAGAAGGAAGUGGCCACUCAAAUGGCACUCCCUUUAACAGACAUUUACCCUGCACCCUUUAUCUGUGCCCCUUGUGAACAGGGGAAAAACAAAAUGAGAAAAAGAGCACUGGAGCGUGUUUCCUCUGCUGCUAAGUUACGGCGAAAUCUCUUAAGAAAUUGUUAGGGAAUUUUCAUGUUGCGUAGAGAACCUUUGCUUUUAUUGUUAAAACAUAAAGUCUGAUCCUGCGUAUUCCUUAAAAGAAAAAAAAAAUAAAUAAAGACACGCACACACAGCCAUCCCACCCCGGAGCACAACAUAAUGCUGUGAAUUCCUUUUGGUUGAAUUUCACUUGUCUGGACAGGAUAAACUUUAUUUAUUGAACACCAUUCCAGUCUCCAGAUCCCGGCUGAACCGCUCGUUUUGCCGCCCUCCUUUGAGUCGCUCUUCUUUUCAGCAGCUUGAAUAUUUCGCCGUGUACAAGGUAUGAGUCAGUGGGACGCUUUUGGGGAACUCCAGACUCUAAAUAAGCUUUGGCUGGCUGUCUGUUAUCGCUUUGGUGCAGUAGCUGGGGAAUGUGAUCACUAAAGCGGGCAUCUCUGUUGUCACAAAUCUAGUGUGGUGAAGAUGAGGGAGUUUAGACAGAGCUUCCAUAAAUAGAACACAAACUUUUUCCAGCCCAGUUGUGAGCAUCGUUUUGAGCUAAAAGCAGCGUCUCAUGUGGACGCUUUCCAGUUUUCACCAGGCCAAAGUGUGGUCCAGUGUUUGGGUGCUACUGGGAAGAAAACAGAAUAGCAUUGUCUGUUCUCGCUAAAUUUCAAAAUCAACUUUUUUGACUCUACAAUAGACUAAAGUGUACAUUUACAUUGUCUUAGGGCCGUUUUUUAAAAUCGCUCAGUUAACAGAAAACCAAAAUGUCGACAUAAAAAUGUACCCAGGGCGGCCCGUUUUAGAUCCUAGUUGCAUGUCUCCUUAAUUUCCUUUCUGUUUUACGAGUUGUGCUUUUUAAAGCCUAGGCCGGUCUCCACACGGUCACAACAAGAUGUUGUCAAGAAAGAAGGUAAUUUAAGGUCCCGGCAUCCAUCAAAGACACGCCAACUGCCCCCUUUACCUCCUAUCCUCCUUUAACCUUAAACCCUCAUACCGCCAUCUCUUUUCAUCUGGUGUGUUAUUUUCUCUGCCUUUUCAUCUUUUCCAUCGGUUUCUCGCUCCCCCCCCACUCGAACCCGCAGCCCGUUAAUGUCCAUGAGCUCAUUCCUUCCCUUCCCCUGUAAUGACGGCAUUCUGGUUGACGCACGCUGUCCAACACCUCACCUCAAACACUCUCUGCGAGGAUCUCGACCCGCCUCGCAUUCGCCUUGUUUUUUUGUUUUUUUUGAGGAUACAGGCGGCUCUCCUGCUACUGGCUUCUCAAACUGGAUGUUUAUUAUGGUUAGAAAUAACAAGUAUGUGGCAUAUAGGCUGCAGCUUACUGGUAGCUUGCAACCGUGGCAACUUGUUGCACCCCGACGGAGGUGUAGGGCUGGAAAAUGAACAUCACCGAGUGACGCCUGCCAGCAGAUGUACUCUAGUGAAGUUAAAGUGUUUUUAGAGAGCAUGUCUUCGUGGAUUAUGGCCUCGUGUGUGGGUUCUUUGAUGGUUUCGUGGUGCAUAUGUGUGUAUAUUGUUCAUGCACAUGACGUAUGGCGGUCCAAGUGCAGACGUGGCCACUGGCUGUUUUCUCAGAUCGUUGGCUCGAGUUCAGAAUUGACAUUGCCGUUUACACAAGGGCACACAGUUAAGUGGAAAAGCCUCUGUUGGGACAGCUGGAUCUCAAACCCUUGUUGUUUCAACACAUAUCUUCUCUCUGCCCGUGUCCUUGUGUGCGCAUUGCACAGAAGAAAUGCACACACGCUCCGCAGGCCAAGCCUAAUCUACCUAUCUGUCCACACACACACACACAAUAUGUUCACUAUCACUGAGCAAAUACAGUGAUGUCAGUGGCAAACGUGGGGUUCGCGUAAGCUGGUUUUCACUCUUUCUCAUAAACUGCGAAUAGUAAAAAUACCAAGCUGACAUCAUUCACACCUCCAGGCUGUGGACCGCUUAACAGAGCAAACAGUGAGCAGUACGAUUCCCAGGCUCGUGCAUGUCAUUAAGAAUUGUGUCUCAAAGCCGAGCACAAGUCAUUUAUGUUUCCACUGAUUUUCACAGGGGGCAGAUGAAGCUGUUUCCAGCCACAGCUUCAUCUUUCUCUGUAAAUGCUAUAAGUUCAAGACAUGAAGUCACAAGGGUUACAGUUACAUGUUAAUUCCCUUCUUACGGUGUAGAUUUGCCACGUCUGCUUUCCAUAAUUGCUAUCUUGUCUGUUGCGCCUAUUAAACUCACUCCUGGGAAGAAAAGGCGGAAAAGCCUAAAAAUGGUUAAAUGACGAGGAGCGAGCAGCUGACACAUCAAAAGAAAAAAAAACAUCUCCAGAAUCAAGUCUGCAUUUUUUUUAUCCGCCAGAAAAUCACCCACAGGAUCAACAAAACUGCAGUUGAAAUUGCAAAGCCCGCCAACUAAAACACAACGCAGCACCACACCUUAACUUGCUUGCUACCAGACAGGGUCUGUCUGGGUAUGUGUGCGCAUGUGAUUGUAUUUGUUUCAUGUUACGUGCGAGGGUGUAAUCAUUGCUGAGGCUGUGACAUUUAGUGACAUUCAAACAAGAGCCCGGGCCUCUACUAUGGGCCUUCUAUGUUGCAGUUUUCCCAAAUUAAAGGCGACCGUUCAUUGGCUGGCCUGGAAUCAAUGGAACGCGCCACAUGUGGGACAUUAGUCUGAGAAUUAAAAAAGAAGUAUUUCCAGCUCCUUUUUUUUUUUUAAAGAGAAAAGCUCAAAGUCUCUUUGGGCUGUAAAGCUAGCCUCAGCAGUGAAGAGCCCAGCCCAAGCCCGUGGUCUACUCCCUGUAGCCCAGUGCGUGUAAUCCUAUCCUCAGCCUGAUUCAUUGCCAAACACCCUUACCACCACCACCAGCCCUGUACUUAGAGUACAGCUGCCCUGCUGCCACUGAACCACACAUGCACAAGUGGAUGCUGAAGCUGCACACACACACACACACACACACACUUUUAUUCCACUACGCCACGGUUUCCUGAGCCUGGGCCCAUUCCUACAGAUUGCUGCCGGGCACACCCACCCACUCAAACCACCCCACCAAAGCCCAGGCUUGAGGGUUAGAUCCCCACAUUCUCCUGCUCCUCCUCUCAUCCUUUCUCACCAUCCAUCCAUCACCCCAUUUUACCACCUUCUCAAAGCAGAAGGCAAAAUAACAACACAUUUGACCCGUGCCUUCUCUUUCCCAUGUCAUUUGGCAUGGAGGUUAUCUGAAGUCACAACCAGACGCAUACGGAGCAAAGAGAUAGACGCCACUGUCGAGGCUAAAUUAAUACCUCCUUAUCUUAUCCUUCUUCUAUAGGUCAACCUCACGUUUACCUCCUUCAAAUCCAUUUUUGCCUUCCGCUACUGAGUUUGGUCUAUACCAACACCCCCGACCCCCCCGACACACUCACACACACACACACACACCAGUCAGGACGGCAAACAGGAAGACAGAGACAGCCAGCCCUGAAAUGCAGCUCAAAGUGGGUUAGCUACAGUAGCCACUGGAUUCCCUUCCUUUCAUGGAGGUUUGGGAGCUCGCAGACUUACAGGGCCCCUGAACAAUGAGAGGAAUGUUUGAGCGGCUCCGGCCUUACUUCAACACUGCCAUUACGCCUCUCAGGCUGCUUUUCUAUAACUUUUUAUGACCUCACUUAGUGCUCCGCGCUGCCAGCAACACCCCAAGGAGAGGCACACAGACCGACAGACAUGACGACAGGCAGAUGACACACAUGGGCAGACAGAUGACAAACAUACUGUAUAAGCAGAAAGCUGUAUGGAAACAGGUGGAGGCGAAACAAUUAUGCCUGAAAUCACUCAGACGGGGGGUGGUACAUAACCUUUAAAUUAACAAGCAAGAUAGGCAGCAAGGAAUGAAACCAUCCCAUUCAAUGGCACUGUAUUCAUCUGACCUUUGUAAUGGAGCCGGUCCACAGUGGCAGACCUCAUAACGGGGCAAUAUUCCAGUGCCAACAACACAGUACAUUUGAACAGCAGGCAGACUUUUACUCCGACUCUGUGUGAACGUCCCGUCCUGAUCAACAGGUUGCAGGAACUGCUGAAUUGCCCCUCUGUGGAAGACCAGAGGUUCAAGACCAAAAAAAAAAAAAGGUCAGAGGAAGGUACACAGUGUUCAUGGAUCAUAAAGUCAUAAAAGUAAUAAUCAUGUCCUGAGAAGAGGCAAACCCACUGCUGUACCUACCUGAGACAACAGAUUUUACUCCUUUUCCUCUCCCUCUUGUUCUUCACGGUCUUCAAUGUCACACUCUAAAAGUUGACCUUCACAGUCCCCAUCCCAUCUCCCAUCUCUCGCAGCUUCUCCGCGUCUCCCACUCUUUGUCCUUUUUUCCUUGUCAGUCCGUUCCUCCUUCGGCCGUGCAGACAGGAGUGUGUGUGUGAACGCGAGUGUGUCUGGGAGCCAGACGGGGUGAGAGUAAGCAAGUAGGCGGGCCCAGCCUAGCAGAGGGGAUUCCUUUAUGACGAUGUCAGAGGAGAGGAACACUCCCCUUCUCUCUCUCUCCUCUCCUCUCCUCCCCCCUUUGCCUCCCUACCUCUCCUCCCCUGUGCAUGGCCGAAGCUGCUGGUAGAACACAGGAAAGGGGGCAGGGAGAUAAUUGGCUGCACAGCUGCUAAUAAAUGAGCAAGGGCUGUUUGAGUCAGUAGCAGACAGGAAGAAGCUAAAUGUACACUGAGGCGAGUUUGCAACUUUUGCCCUUUUAUGUCAAUUUAGGAAAAAAGAGUGCAUGUCUAUAGCCAUCCUCAUAUAAGCAGAAAUUAACCAUAUUAACCAAAAAAAA